rnacentral:rRNA from 1 species
GACGAACGCUGGCGGCGUGCCUAAUACAUGCAAGUUGAGCGCUGAAGGUUGGUACUUGUACCAACUGGAUGAGCAGCGAACGGGUGAGUAACGCGUGGGGAAUCUGCCUUUGAGCGGGGGACAACAUUUGGAAACGAAUGCUAAUACCGCAUAAAAACUUUAAACACAAGUUUUAAGUUUGAAAGAUGCAAUUGCAUCACUCAAAGAUGAUCCCGCGUUGUAUUAGCUAGUUGGUGAGGUAAAGGCUCACCAAGGCGAUGAUACAUAGCCGACCUGAGAGGGUGAUCGGCCACAUUGGGACUUGGACACGGCCCAAACUCCUACGGGAGGCAGCAGUAGGGAAUCUUCGGCAAUGGACGGAAGUCUUACCGGGCAACGCCGCGUGGGGGAAGAAGGUUUUCGGAUCGUAAAACUCUGUUUGUAGGGAAGAACGUUGGUGAGAGUGGAAAGCUCAUCAAGUGACGGUAACUACCCAGAAAGGGACGGCUAACUACGUG